rnacentral:rRNA from 1 species
AUUGAACGCUGGCGGCAGGCCUAACACAUGCAAGUCGAGCGAGCGGCGGACGGGUGAGUAAUGUAUGGGGAUCUGCCCGAUAGAGGGGGAUAACUACUGGAAACUGUAGCUAAUACCGCGUACCAUAGGAUGAGCCCAAGUGGGAUUAGGUAGUUGGUGAGGUAAAGGCUCACCAAGCCGACGAUCCCUAGCUGGGCUGAGAGGAUGAUCAGCCACACUGGGACUGAGACACGGCCCAGACUCCUACGGGAGGCAGCAGUGGGGAAUAUUGCACAAUGGGCGCAAGCCUGAUGCAGCCAUGCCGCGGGUAUGAAGAAGGCCUUCGGGUUGUAAAGUACUUUCAGUCGGGAGGCGUUACCGACAGAAGAAGCACCGGCUAACUCCGUGCCAGCAGCCGCGGUAAUUC